AUGAGUGGAAUGCUGCUUAGAGAUCUUACCAAGCUAAAAAGAACUCCUGUUUCCCUCCAUGUGUCUCAGGAGGAGGCUGCAUCUGAACUCAAGCUCAACCUGCAGAAUCUUGUUGUAUACACUUUGGGGAGAACAGCAGUUCCUACCUUCACAUCUGGGAACAUGAAGAUUUGGAGAUGCUGUUUUGUUUAUUCAAAUAAUAUCUGUGUAGAUGGCUUGCUCUGGAGGAAGCCAAUCAUGAAGACCUCAAGCAACCCUGAGAGUGACCUAUGAGGAAAGGUACCGAAGCCUCCCACAAACAGCUUGCACUGAAUUGCUAGUAGUAUGAGAUCCACCUUGGAAGUGGAUCCUCUAGCACCGGUAAAGCCUUCACAUGACUGCAUCCUGACUGACAGCUUGACAACAACCUCAUGAAACACUCCAAGCCAGGACCACCAGGAUUUAAGCCACUCCUAACUUAUAUACAGAAAUUGUGAGAGAUAAUCUUUACUGUUGUUUUAAGUUACUAAAUCUUGAGAGAAUUUGAGACAGGAAGAGAUAACUAAUAUAUUAGGCUUUUGUAAAAUCAGAUGGUCCUUAUACUAUUGGGGUCCAAACCUUAUGCACAAUGGGAAUACUAAAAACCUAACGCAUAUUGACUUGUUUCCUUUAAUUUUUUUGAAAUGAUUAAAUGGUCAUUUUCUGUAAUUACUGAAUUUCUAAGACAUAAUUAUGUAUAAAUUAUGUAUAACACAUAAUUAUUUGUUAUAUCAGUAUACAUAUAUUAAUUUUGAUAUUUAUCUACUAUAAUUAAUAUAUGUAACUAUAAAUUAAUAUGCAAUCUUGUUCUUUAUUAACUGCUAAUACGCAUGGGCAGGGAAACAAUGCUAUCCACGGCCAGAUGUGUUCAGAUAACCAUCCCUGUCCUGGUCCGAUUCAAGCAUUUCUUUUCUUGGCUCUGCAUCGUUUAUCAUCUGCUUCUAUGCCUCGGGCCAUCUUCAUGGGAAGAGCUGCUACUUGCACCAGAGAUUUUUAAUGCUAAGCGCACAUACUUCUUGUUCUCCUGAAACUGACCAGACUUCUUAAUUUAAUUCUGAUGUCUAUAGCUUCAGUUUUAUCGUGCUUUUUUUUUGACAAUUACAAUAACAUAUAUUAAACUAAUUUUGAGCUCCAAAUCCCUGUAACUAGUCACAUAAUUAUAGCAGUGAUUUAGUAACCUUUCAGAUAGCCAAAUGUUGUUUAUAUACUUUCAGUGUUUUAAAUAACAUCCCUUUCAACAUCUAGAUUUUUCUCUAGCUAUAUCUAAAAAUUUUAUGCAUGAACAAGAACAUAAAAUAUUUAAUAAGCUUCUUUAAAGUUAAAUUUUAAAGCCAAUCUCAUAAAUUCAGAAUAAUUCUUACUUUUUGCCUUUCUGCAUUUAGAUGGGAGAGACUAGUCAAUUGUUCUAAUCUUGGCCUAUGGAGCUGUGAGAUCGUCUGAAGAGCUAUGUCCUUUAGUGAUGACACAUGGUCUCAUGCUUCUCUGGUUCUGUUUUGUUUCUAGUUUUAGUGAUAGUCUUUCGUUGUCACUAUGGAAUAUGAAAGGGUUUCUUUUGCAAGCUGAUAUACAAUACAAAAGCAUUUCCCCUUUCACUAUGUCAGUGAUACUGUUUACUACAAUAUCUAUGAGAUAAUGUCUUUCCUCUUAUUCAUCUGUAAUACUGAACAUACAUGAAGAUCUUGUCACAUACAUGUUGGGAAAAAGUCUGACUUUUCAGUUCAUUCCAUAUGAUAAAGUACCUAGAGUAAGGUUCCAGAGUGUAUGAACAUUUUUUUUUUUGAGACAGGGUCUCACUCUGUCACCCAGAUUGGAGUGCAGUGGCACAGUCUCGGCUCACUAUAACUUCUGCCUCCCAGGCUCAAGUGAUUCUCCUGCCUCAGCCUCCCAAGUAGCUGGGAUUACAGCUGUGUAGCACUAUCGCCCAGCUAAUUUUUGUAUUUUUAGUAGAGAAGGGGUUUCACUAUGUUGGCCAGGAUGGUCUUGAACCCCUGACCUCAAAUGAUUUGCCUGCCUCAGCCUCCCAAAGUGCUGGGAUUACCAGCAUGAGCCACUGUACCCAGCCUGUAUGAACAUAUUUAUGAUUCUUAAAAUAUAUUGCCAAAUUAUUUCCAAAAGUGCUGUUCUGAUUUAUCAGGCUAACAGCCAUGUUUGAUCACUGUGUUCCAAGUAUUAGUUACUUCUAAAUUUAAAAAACUUAAAAGGUAAAAGAAAUCUUACUUUCCAUUUGUGUUUAUGUUAUAAAGAUAAAGAAAAAUUUCAUUACAUUGACUUUAUAUGUGUAUGUAUAUAUGACUUAAUAUAUGUGUAUGUGUGUCUGGUGUGUGUGUGUGUGUGUGUGUGUGUAUGUGUACACACAGAGACAUUGAUGUCUGUUGAGUCACGCACAUAGAACUUCUAUGUUUUUAUAUAAUCUAGGUGUCUUUAACCCUUUGGGCCAUAGAUUUAAUUGGCCUGCAAAAUCUGGUAAUACCAGUGAUCUGCAGGUACUGAAGAAACAAUGAUAAACAUGAUAGACACAGUUCAUAAUCUGGAGUCACAAUCCUCUGGGGGAGACAUAAGUAAGUAGGCAAAUACAAUAGUGAAGUUAGAAGUUCAGAGGGUGUACCAGGGUAGACAUCAUACCCAAACUAAUUAGCUUAGAAAAGACUUUCUGCAGAAAGGGAUAUACAGGUUGUGGGA
ensembl:lncRNA